rnacentral:misc_RNA from 1 species
CAGAGUUGUCCAACUCCCAAACCCAUGUGAACAUUACUCAAUUUGUUGCCUCGGCGCGAGCUAGCCCGCUCCCGGUCUACCACGGGACGGCCCGCCAGCGGACACCCUAAAACUCUGUUUCUAUUAUGUAACUUCUGAGUGUAAACCUAUUAAAUAAUCA